CUUUAUAAGCUUAGACCAAUACUUAGUCACCUUGGACAUUCUCAUAUUGGUAUGGUUUGUAUUGACAAGUUUCAAGUUCACGUUUCGUUCCACUUCAACUGUUUUUAUAAUGAAAAAGACAUGAUCUCAUAUAUGUGACUUGCAAUGUUUUUCGCAUGUGAUCAUUAAAAAAUUUAAAAUUAGCGAAAGCAUUGAUGGACCAAUCUUUAAUUGGCUUGAUAAAUCUAUUGUAGAACCUCAAAUUCCAAGUCAACAUAAAAAAUUCUUUUUUUCUUCUUGAUUUCGUUGUAAAAUUCAAAAUACUUAAAUUUAGAAAGAUUUGUAGGAUACAUUUCGCCUUUCUCCUAUUAUGGAAAUAGGAGGAAGAGAUGAUUUAGAUAAAUAAUAAAAUCGAAUAGAAAAAAAAAAAAGAACAUAAAUCUAAAAUAUUACUUUGAACGUAUUCCAAACAAAAAGAUGAGAGAUUUUUGCGAUGUCAAAAAGGCAACAUAUGUAUAAUUUUGCACGAAUUCAGAAAUUUAGAUAGCAUUUUUAAAUUAAUAUUUUGUUGAGGUAUGAAUUAGCAUAGUAGUAUACAUAAUGUAUGAAUCGAAAAUAUUUUUUGUUGAGGUGUAUAAAAAAAAUGCUAUUUUCCUCAAAAUUGCCAUUCAACUUACAAUUCCAUGACCUAUGUAACAUAACUACCCAUAAAGCUAAAAGUAUGCACUAAAGCUUAGGAUCAACAUGCUACUAACUUUGAUUUAUUAUUUCAGCCAAUAGGUAAAAGUUUGGUUCUCUAUAAUUCUCUUGUUAUCCUAUAUAAUUGUCGUUGGCAUGUAGACGUAGUAAUACAUUUUGUUCUGAAUUUAAGGCAUUGGAAAAUUUUAGUGCUGCCAGAAAAUUAUUCCUUUUUUUCCCACAAUCUAUAUACCUUUUUUUCUGCUUCGUCUUAUUCCUUUCCUGCUCUUGUGUCCUCCAAUUGUCUAUCGUGUGUUUCAUAGACCUUUUUGUCAUCUUAGUGGAUAUGGUCAGGUAUUGAGAUUAUGGUAUCCGAUACAAAAUCUAGUUUCUUACCCGUAUCUAAUGUCAGAGAAUAGAGAUCACGAUACUUAGGCUCGUUAUUUUGGUCUUUUUGCAUGCAUUUAUGUUUUUAUAUUUUUGCUAAAUUUGCCUACAUAAUUGUGUAUGAUCAUGUAUUUUACAAUUAUUACGCAAGUUCCAAUGUGGGUAAUAAUUUAUUAACCUAACCAAAUGAAAAAGCUUGAAUUUUCUACUUUUUAGCCUCAUAUGGGUGCAUGAUCCAGAAGGAAUGAAUAACAAUUAACAGAUUUUUUUUAUUUAUAAACUCUACUUUUGCCUAAAGCAAAUUCCAUGAAGAGAUGCCUUUUUCCCUUAAUUAUUCUUUAAAAUACUUUUGAUACAAAUAAUACAAAGAUUAGACAAUCUACUUGCCUUCCUUUGCGUAUAUUUUAUAUGCUAUUUGCUCCAAUAUAAUAUAUUUCUUUAACAAAGAUGUUACCUACUUGGUUUUAAAAGAUUGUGUUGAGACCAAAUUGUCCGCAAAUGUAUUGUCCGAAUUAGACCCAAAAACGGGAAUCGCUGUCAAAUCAAUAUUAUAAUGUGAUAGAAGCCGUCUUCUUCUAUCCAACUAACAUAGUACAUAACACAUAAUACACUCCUUCACAUAUUAUCCCAAAAGAUGAACUCAUACAAAAACCCAUAAACUCAUCAAUAUAGGAAACGAAACAAUCCAAAUUAAAUGAUUAAAGUAACUCUUUUAUUAGGUCGGCACCAAAAUCUGCCAAACCUUAACUUGAGAGUCAAGUCCUCCACUAUAAAUAUGAUAAGAAGCCUCAGAUGGUUUACCGGAAUGACGAAUUGCCCCGGUCAAGCACUUAACCGGUCCUAUAUGUCCCUCCAACAUAGCCAAGCACGAAUAAUCCGUCCCUGAACAUUUCCACAGCCUCACUGUCUUAUCUGCUGAGCCACUACAAAGUAUGUCCGACACAACCGCAAGGCAUAGAACAGACUCUGUGUGACCUCGUAGCAUUCCAACAAGUACAAUGUCUCCACCUUCUUCUCUUUCCCACACCAAUAUUGAUCCGUCAGAUCCACCCGAAUGCAAAAGAGUGCCGUUAUUACCGCUCAAUGCCAGUGCGUUGAUACCCGAAUUAUGUUCCGACAAUAUUGCAACCAAAGAAUGUUUCUUCUUCUUCUUCUUCUUCUCAUUCUCUUCAUUGAUGUUUUUCCUCCAUACUUUGAUUCUCUGGUCAGAAGAUCCUGUGUAUAUAUCUCCGUUUUCGGAUAAUGCAACCGCAUUGAUUGCAUCAUCAUGGGCGUUUGUGAAUGACUCUAGGCAUUUAAAAUCGGAAGUACGCCAGAUUUUAAGCGUCCUGUCCCAUGAGACAGAGUAGAGUAGCGUUCCAUCUCUUGAUAAGGCUAAACCCGAAACCGCGUCUACAUGGUGAACCCAUGAAGCUUUCUUAUGCCUCCUUAUUUCAACUUGGUCCUUUGGCAUCAAACACUUUGCAAAACGAUCGCUAAUAGUUGGCAUCGUCGCUACAUGCAUGUACCUUUUACCACCCACGUCUUCUUCAACGACGUCGUUUAUCUUCCACACACGUAUCUUAUGAUCUUGGUGUGCUGUGAAUAGUUUAUCAGCCAGUAUUACCAAAGAUUUCACUGCUCCUCCGCCUCCUCUCUCUCCUGUUAUUACAUCGCCGUUGCUUGAUGCUUCCGCUAAUGUUUCCAACGUGUUUGCAUUCCAUAAUCUAACAACUCCGUCGUUGGAGCCUGUGUAAAGUCUCUUUCCUGCAAGGGUUAGAGAUGAAAUGUAGGAUGCUGUGUGACAUACAAGAGUGGCAAUACAUUGAUGAAGUGGUUGACAAGAAGAUGUUAGAUGAUCUUCUUGAGAAAAAUCAGGCUCUUCUUCGGAUUCUUGAAAUCGUAUCAUUGUUUCUUAUGAAGGAAGAUUGAACCAAUGAGCAAACCUUGGAGAGGUAAUAUAAAGAGAAAAAGUUUGGUACAUAGAAAGGAUGAAGUUUGGGGGAAAGUAGUGGAAACAACGAUUGGCUCUAAUACUUGGACUAUUCUAAUAUAUAUCAAUUUGGACUCUUUACAUUGUGAACAAAUCUGACCGAAAACGAAAAGAAUAAUGUGAUGGGAUGAUGAGUAGGAUGCAAUAUAUAUUUUAAAAUGUUGUAUUUAUUGACAUAAUCUUGUCUGGUAGAUUUCUUUCUUACAAAAGUGGAACAAAGUUAAAGGAUGGCUCUAGAUUAUUAUUUUAUUUGCGUUAAGGUUGGGAUGUGUUUCAUACGUUGUGAAUUGUAACACAUAUUAUUGAUUUCAUAUGUUAAAAUUUAACACAAAUUAGAUGUGUCAAACACUACCAAACCACCGCCACUAGAAACAAAUAUUAAAAAACCGAAUAACCCAAAUCAAAAAUAAUGCACCAACUUUAUUAAAACAAAUAAAUAAAUAAAUGAAUAAUGAACAAAAAUCAUGAAACUAAAAAGGGAUGUAAUACUAUUCUCCCUUCUUUCUUUUUUAGAAAAAUGGAUGUAAUAUUGUGUUUAUGUUAAGUCUUCUUCUAUAACUAAGCCAAGUCCUAGUAUCUCUAGUUGACACAAAACAUUGUGUUUCCAGAGAACAAAGUUUCCUUUUCUAUCAAAAUUUUCCACUUCAAAAUAUGCACGAGUUGAUUCCACUCUUGACUCAUGUUCUUGUGUUUCCUUUAACACAUAUUCCAGUUGAACCAGUCCCUUUCAGAACCCUCAGAGAUGAACACCAUGCAACAAGCCAACAAGAAUGAACAGAAUACCUCCUCUCAAGAGAAACAGUCACAAAACAAAACAAAAAUAUAAAAGCAAAGCACUUGGUCUCUGAUUCUUUGACGCCAACGGUCACUUGGGCCGCCAUAAUCAACUUGGGCCUACUUCAACAACUUUUGAAGCCCAUUCUUCAACAUUUCAAUCCAACUGCAUAAUAAGCCCUUCUAAACCGAGACCCAUAGUUGUAUUUGGGAUAAAACCGGAUAUAACCUGAAGAGCCACAAUUUCAUACCGGUGCUAACAUAUAAAUUUUGGUCUCUUUUAAGUCAUUGAAACAUUGGUGAAAGUCUGCAAAUGUAUAUACAUCUAUAUAAUAAAUUUAUAAUCUAAAAUCAAAAAUUGCAAAGAAAGUUACUAACCAUAGAUCGUGUAAUGGUAGAAAAUAAUUUAUGUUUUUGGUGGUUUUAGAAAGAAAGAUGAGAGAGAGAGGAUUAGAUUGUAGAAAGUGGGGGAAACACGAGAGGGGAAAAUGUUUUGAAGAAGUAAGAAACAUGUUGAUGAAAGUGUGCAAAGGAGAUGGGGAACAAAGAAUGGGUCCCUUAUUUACAUAUUUGCCGAUUUAAAAGCAUUUUGAUUGUUGAUGAGUCAACUUCAUUGUCUCCUUUGUUAUCCAUCACGUAAUUUUGAAAUUCUAACUCGUAAUUUACACGAAAAGUAACAUUUCCGCAACACAUCUCUCAAAUAACCACUUCAGUAAUUUACAUAUCACUUUAGCGAUUUGCUUUGUUAAUUAUUACCAAUGUCAUACACUCUUUCAAAAAAGCAUAACUAUCAAAAGAAAAAAAAUACUUUUGAAAAGCAUCGACUCUUGUUUGUGCUUGAUUUAGAUAACUUCUAACGUUUUGUAUGAGUAUUGAUUUAAGUAAAUGAUAUCUCUAAAGUUUGAACACAUUGAAUAAUCGCGUCUAACAUCGAUGAGAGAUGAUAGAACUAUCAACGUAUGAGAAUUCCAUUAUCGUCUAUGAUAAAAAAAAUCUAAAUAACAAGAUCAAAUAACUUUUUGCAAACAAUAAUUUAUUAAAAAAUCCACAAACGAUACUCUUUUUCCAUAGAUGUUAACACAUUCUUCUAAUAAAAAUGGAUAACCCUUGUUUCUGUUAGACGAAUAAAAGAAGCAAAAGAAGUUUGUUACAGAGAAUCAAAAGAGAAAACAUUUUUAUUCAUCUUGAGAUUCUUUUUACAAUAGAAACCUCUUAUAUAGUGAGAGGGUUUUGGUCUAAGACAUUAAACCAAUUACAAUUAGCCGGUUUAACAUAAACCGUUGAAUCAAUUCAAUUAUACAUCUAAUACCCUCCCUCAAGAUGGCAUGUAUAUAGAAAUCAAAGCCAUCUUGCCAACCAGAGUAAGAAACUGUGAUGGAUACAAGGCUUUAGUGAAAACAUCUGCAAUUUGCUGAUCAGUGGUGACAUGAAGUGUUUUUAUCAAGCCACUAGUGACGCAUUCUCGUACCUUGUGACAGUCUAGCUCCAAAUGCUUUGUCCUUUCAUGAAAUACUGCAUUAUUUGCAAUAUGAAUGGCAGCAGUAGAAUCACAGAACAUUGCAACAGAUCUUGACUGUGGCACCUGCAACUCCUGGAGAAGAUUCACCAACCAAAUAACUUCUUUUACAGCAAAACCCAUGGCUCUGUAUUCAGAUUCAGCUGAAGACAUGGAAACAGUAGGCUGUUUCUUUGAUUUCCAAGAGAUAAGUGAGUUCCCUAGAAACAUACAAUAACCAGUUGUUGAUCUCCUUGAGUCUUUGCAUGAGCCCCAAUCCGCAUCAGUGAAAGCUUUCAAAACCAUAUCAGACUCUGAGGAGUAAAACAAACCCAAACCAAUGUUUCCCUUGAGGUAGUGUAACACCUUAUAUGCAGCCUUUAAAUGAGACAUCUUAGGGGCAGAGGUGAAUUGACACAACCUAUUAACAGCAUAAGUAAUGUCAGGUCUGGUGAUUGUUAAGUACAUCAUCCUUCCUACCAAACGUCUGUAUAGUUGCGGAUCAUCAAUGAUAGGUUCAUCACUAUCAAGAACAAGCUUCACAUUAGGAUCCAUAGGAAUGGUAGACAGCUUGCAGGCAAGUAGCUUGGUUUCUUCCAACAACUCAAGUACAUACUUCCUUUGACAAACUGAAAUCCCUUGAGCAGACCUUGCUAUUUCUAAGCCAAGGAAAUACUGCAGAGUACCAAGAUCUCUGAGCUUAAAAGCUUUCUGCAAAUCCAAUUUCAGAGUGCUAACCGUAUCAUCAUCAUUCGCAGCAAUAAUAAUGUCAUCCACGUAGACUAAGACUGCAACAUACUUCCCAUUAACAUUUCUCACAAAUAAAGUGUGAUCUGUGUGAGAUUUCUGAAAACCAAGCUUCAAAAGAACAGAGCUAAACUUUAAAAACCACUGUCUUGAAGCCUGUUUUAAUCCAUAAAGAGAUUUGUGUAACUUACAAACUGCAUUUGGAGGUAAAGUCUCUCCUUCCUUUGCUGUAUAUCCUGGAGGAAGAUUCAUGUAGAUCUCUUCAUCAAGAUCUCCAUUCAAGAAGGCAUUUGAAAUGUCUAAUUGAUGCAAGCUCCAUUUCUUGGCAGCUGCAACAGCUAGAAGAGUUUUUACUGUAGUCAUCUUAGCAACAGGUGAAAAAGUGUCAACAAAAUCCACACCUUCCUGUUGUGUAUAGCCUUUAGCAACGAGUCUGGCCUUAUAACGUUCUAAGCUUCCGUCGGCAUUGAGCUUUGUUUUAUAAACCCACUUACAUCCAAUAGGCUUUUUAUUCGGAGGCAAAGAACAAAUAGACCAUGUGUUAGUACUUUCCAGGGCUAGAAGCUCUUCAUUCAUGGCAAGAAUCCAUUCAUCGAAUUUCUUAGCCUGAUGAAAACUUGAAGGCUCCGCAAAUUGUGUCACUGCACAAAUAUAGGCUUUAUAAUCAUCAGUUAAUCUUUCAUAUGACAUGUAAGCAGCCAAUGGAUGAGGUAUAUCAGCUGUAGUCAUAUUACAGUAGUAAUCAUGUAGAUAAGCUGGUGACUUAGACUUUCUCUUCUCUUUUCCUUUAUUCUGACUAUCAUUUGUUUUAGUAGCACUGGCAGUGAUAGUAUCUUCUUCAAUUCUAGAAGAAUCUCCUACUUCUAUAGAAUUGGUGCUAUCCAAAGCCUGGCCAUUAACUAAAACAGAGUCAAAAAUAGAGGAGAAAUCAGGUUGUGUAGACAUACCAGUAGCAAAGGGAAAUAUAUCUUCAUGGAACACAACAUUUCUGGAAAUGUGGAUAGUAUGUGUGUCCAGAUCCAAGAGUUUGUAGCCUUUAUAUCCAGCAGGAUAACCAAGAAAUAAGCAAGCUUUUGCUCGAGGCUGAAAUUUAUGCCGAUUCUUGGAAGAAGUAGAACUGUAGCAAAGGCAACCAAACACUCUUUAACCCUUAUACUCUGGCUUCUUAGAUGUCAAUACCUGAAAUGGCGAUUUAUGCUGAAGUAGAGGUGUUGGCAAACGAUUGAUUAGGAAAACUGAAGUCAGAACACAAUCUCCCCAAUAUUCCAAUGGAAGGUUUGCUUGAAACAUUAGUGAUCUUGCCACAUUUAAAAUGUGUUGAUGCUUUCUUUCAACAACCGAAUUUUGCUCCGGAGUCUCUGGACAGGAGUGGUAUGACUGAAUCCCCUUAGCCUUGUAAAGCUCAGUGAACUGAAGCUCCGGUGCAUUAUCAGACCUGACACCUUUGACAACAGCCUUGUAUUGAGUUUCAAUCAUUUUAAGAAAGUCAGGAAACACUUUUAAAACCUCUGACUUGGUUCUGAGUAGAUAAACCCAUGUCACUCUGCUGUGAUCAUCUACAAUGGUUAGAAAAUGUUUAUAUCCUUCCACAGUAGGAACAGAGAAAGGUCCCCAUAAGUCUAUAUGAAGCAAGUCAAAAGCAUUCUUAGAUAUAUUGUUGUUAGAAAUAUAUGGAAGAUGCUUUUGCUUUGCAAGAGGACAAAUGGAACAAGGUAGACCUUUAUUAUUAUUACUCUGUUUGAUUCCAAGUACAUUGGUAAUAGAUUCUAGCUUAGCAACAGAUGGAUGUCCUAAUCUAUUAUGCCAUAAGGUAGAAUCUGCUACUACAUUGACAGAAUAGGACAUGUUUUCAUCAUUAGAAGCUGCAAGUGAAUCUCUAUCCAAGACGUAUAGGUUUGAUAUCUGCUCACCAUUCCCAAUCGUCAAGCCCUUGAUAGGAUCCUGUAUCAUACAAGAUACUUCAUCAAAUAUCACACGACAACUCAGAUCUUUAGUUAGUUGACUAACACUGAGCAAAUUGAGACGAAAAUCUGGUAUAUAUAGAACAUUGCUCAAUACCAGACAUUCAUUCAAUCUUAUUGUACCAAUGCCUGCAAUUUUAAUAUCUGGACCCGUUGGUAAAGUCACAGACUUAUCAGAGAAAGUAUCUGACAUACUCACAAAGAGAGAUUUAUCAUGUGAAACAUGAUGUGUUGCUCCACUAUCGAUGAUCAUAGACUUAGAUGAUAAUGUGUUACCUGUGGCUCUCAAAAUCCCAACAAAAUGAAGUGUAGAGGAUGAGAAAGCCAUACCAGGUAAAGCGGUGAUAAGACCACCAGAAGUAGAUGGCAUCAUAGUCUGAUCGAGUGGUGUUGAUAAUUGUGAGUUGAAAUAGGCAAUGACACCUUGAAUCUGGUCUUGUGAAAGAGAAGGCGAUUGACUAGAAAAAGGCUGACCAAUGCUGAUGUUAUUAUUCACUUUUGGCUCAGUGAGAGCAACUUGUGCAACAACAGGCUUACUUGCACCAGUAGUGGAUUGUUUCCCUUUGUGUUUGAAACCAAUGGGAUAUCCAUGAAUCUUGUAGCAAGUGUCUUUGGUAUGACCAUUAUAACCACAGUGAGAACAAAUAGGUCGAGUAGACUUUUGACCAUUAUAGGCUGCAUUAAUCGAGAGAACAGAAGCUGCAGGUAUCUCAGGAGCAGCUACAUGAAAAGCUGAAGCAGUUUGAACAGGAUUGAUGCUUCUCUGACUGUGAUCUUGAUCAAGUAAAUUGUAAACUUCUGCAAGAGUAGGCACAUUCUUCUUCAUAAUGAUCUGACUGCGAGCACUUGAAUAAGACUCAUUAAGACCAGCCAAGAAUUUUAUGAUCUUUGUAUGCUCCGAAUGUGUUGAAAUAGUCUUGCAGCAAGCACAAUUCUGACAUGUUUGAACACAAUCUGCUCCAUCAAGGUCAUCCCACAAUGUCUUCAACUUUGUAUAAUAUGUGGAUAGAUUCAUUGAACCUUGAUGAAGAGACCAGAUUUGUUGUGUGAUUUGAUAAGAUCUUGGCAGAUUGGUGAUAUGAAAACGCACCAUUAAGUCAUGCCAAAUCUCAGAAGCAUCUUUGAAUCUCAGAAUGCUAUUAUAGAUUUCCUUUGUAACAGAAUUCAGAAUCCAAGAUUUCACCAUUGCAUUACACCGUGACCAAAUGCGAUAGUGCGUGUGUGUCUCUGAUGGUCUAGGAAGAGAACCAUCCACAAACACUAGUUUAUUCUUAGCAUCUAAAGCAUUAGUAAUGGCCAUGAUCCAGGUGUUAUAAUUUGUUCCAUCAAGAAUUUCAGAGACAAUUGAAGAUCCUGGAUUAUCACCAUUAUUCAAGAAAUAAGGCGAAAACUGGAUUCCAUCGAAAGCGAAGGUUUCUUGAGAGAUUAGAGGCGGAAUAACCUGAGGUUGAACUAGAUUUGAAGAAGAAGCAGGAUUAGCUCCAAAAACCACCGGAAUAGGUGUAGGAUCCACCGGAAUAGGUGCGGAUGUCGCCGGAAUAGGUCGAACAGUCCUCGAUCGAGCUGGAGUUGAAGAACUAGCACCGCGUGCUAAUCGCUUCGAAGUACGACGGAGAGUAACCAUUUUGAGCUCAAAUUUGAAGAAAAGAAUCGAUCGGGAGAGAAGAUCCGAUCAACUAAGGUCAAAGAACGAAGAGAACGAAGAUCGGAAACGAAGAUCGUUGAUGGUGAAGUUGAAUUCACCGCUCUGAUACCAUGUUAGACGAAUAAAAGAAGCAAAAGAAGUUUGUUACAGAGAAUCAAAAGAGAAAACAUUUUUAUUCAUCUUGAGAUUCUUUUUACAAUAGAAACCUCUUAUAUAGUGAGAGGGUUUUGGUCUAAGACAUUAAACCAAUUACAAUUAGCCGGUUUAACAUAAACCGUUGAAUCAAUUCAAUUAUACAUCUAAUAGUUUCCUUGGUUGAACAACGAUAUUUGGAACUUGCAAGAUUUGAUUCCCUCUCAAAUAUCGGUUUAAGCUAAAUCAUUUAACUCUCUGUUGGAUUGUAACUCGAAAUUUUGAGCAAGAGUCAUUCUUUUAUACGAUUUUUUUUGUUAAUUUUCGAUUCUUUAUACUAUAUUAGCAUAAGAUAUAAUAAAUAUUCUAAGAACUCUAUAUCAUAGUUGUCUAUUACAUUUGUCCUUCCAAACCAACAAACGUUUUUGUUUUUAAAUCCUGCAGGAAUACUAAUAUUGUUACUUCUAGGUAUAUUUACGAGUUAUCGUUGAAAAUUGAACGUGCGGAAGACAGAGAAAUAAGCUUUAAUUAUGGCAAAAAAAGUUCUCAAAUGGGUGGUUAGAUAGAAAAAAAAAAGAGCAAAACGUUGAGGUUGAUUAAAAUGGUGCAAAAUGAGUGGUUCUGUUUGUUAAAAUGGAAGAAUGCACGAGUUUCAUCAUGCUUUUCCUUCGUUUUGUCUUUUUAUUGGGACAUUAUUCCAAUAUUUUCAAGAUCGCUAUGAGUAAAUAUUAUUUCCCCCUUUUCCUCGAUUUCACGUGUGGAUCACUUCACAGUCUCCACUACCUUUGUCUAGCUCGGUGCUACUGGGUCAAACUCCUUUGUACUAUUUUACAGUUUGAAGUUAGUUCUCAAUCGAAUUCUACUAGACUCAACAGUUCUCUUUUAACACGUUUUUAGUCUUAUAAUUAAAUUUACAAUAUAUAUAGAAUAAAAUGAAUAAAUAAUUAAUAGAGUUUUCUCGAAAAAUCCUCUUCAAAUCUUUUUUUUUUACAAUUUGAUUCUCUAUCUCCAAAAAAGGCAAAUUAGUCAUAAAAAAUAAAAUAAUACACAAUAUAACACUGAAACGUAUUUUCUAAAACUUUUUACGGCCAUAUAAUUAAAUUUUAAAAAUUCUAAAAGUGGAUUUGAAAUUCUCGUCAAGUGAGUUUUUGAUUGGAUAUAUUAUUUAUAAUUUUCUUGCAAGAUUGACGGUAAUAACACCAGGUUAUAUUACUUAUUAAUUUUAACUUUGCUUGAGUGACUUACAUUUUUUGGAGAUGAAGACAAAAUUACAAAAUAAAAGUUUUUGGAAGUUUUUUUUUAAUAGAAAACCCCUUAUUAUUACUAUUAUUGUUAAGGAUGAAUUUUCGGGAUUUAUAGAAUGAUGUGAUAUCGUGAUCCCAUUAACUUCAGAGAGCCAAAGUCACCGAAAGUUGUUUCUUUUUCUUAAUUGGUAAAUUCAAUAGAUGUUUGUGUACUGGUGGUAAUUGGUAAGAAGGAGACCCACAUGUUUUAAUUAUUAAAUUAUGUGUAUAUAUAUUUGCACUAUUUGUAUGAUUUAAAUUCAAAACACAUAAAAGGAGAUAAUAUAAAGUAAAUUUAAAAUUUAAAAUGAAGAGUAUAUGCACUUGACUAGAUGACCAUAUGUUAGUCAUUUAUUUUCGUUAACUGAUGGAUGACCAAAUCAUAAAUAAGUUGGAUCAUUUAGUACGGAUAUAUGUUUUUAACAAAUAGCAUAUAAUUAAAACAUUUAAAAAAAAAAUUGUAUGUUAUUUAAUUCGACGUACAAUAUUAUUUGAAUUCACGGUAUCCGUUUAUAACGAUUUCGUCACCGUGUUUUUUGUUUCCAGCAAAUAAGUCUCCAAAUGGUCAUAAAGAAAACUCAACAAAACUUAACUAUAAUAAGCAUUUUUUUCAGUUAUUAGUUAUGCAAUUUACUAUAUUUGUUAGUAAAAUACUUAACUUUUAUUUAUCAUAUCCAUUUUUUCAGUAUUAAUCCUAAUUUAACUACUACAUGUUGGUGGAAGAGAGAGAGUAAAUAAGAUCUUUACCACUUUGUGUUGGUCUCUCCGUAGCACGCGUGGUAGGACCUUUGAUACUCUGUCAUACAACGGUAUCACUACCACAAGAAGGGAAUGCUCGUUCGCUUCUAAGUAGUCGAGAAGUUGACCAGAUUGUGACCAAUUCCUCCACCCAGAGAGAUGAUAUUGCGCCAUUAUUGCGCCAUUACUUAUUCUUGUUUUAAUUUAUGGAAGAUAAAGUAACUAACACCAAAAGAGAGAUUAUGAGAAAGAUAUAUAUAUAUAUAUAUAUAUAUAUAUAUAUAUAUAUAAUAACGUUUAAAAAUCUAAUUUCAAACACAUUAUUCUAUUUGAUCAAAAAAAAAAAUUGAUAAAAAAAACAUAUUAUUCUGCAUCAUUUUCUAUAUAUCUAAUUAUAUCAUUAAUCCAUUUCUUACGAAAAAUUCAAUAAUAUAAGAAAAUUUAUUCUAUACUGUAAAAUACAGAUUUACUCGCUCUGAAAAAACAUGUUAUAACUUCUACUCAAACAAUUAUAUUUAAUGCAGGUUAAUUAUAUACAUAUAUAAUCACUUUUCUGUAUUUUAUAACAUCUUAAUUAGGAAAAGUAUGCUACCUAGUUACUAAUAAAAGAAAAUACAGUAAAUCAUACUCCCUCUCUGUCCCAAUAUAUUACAUGAUUUGACUAAAAGGGUACAUAGUAAAAAAAUUAAUUUUUUUGCAAAAUAUCAUUUAAUAUUUUAAUUUGAAACAGCUCAACCAAUCAUAGAAAAUAUUUUAAAAUAUAAUAACUACAAAACAUGAAAUUCAUUUAAAUUUUGUAUAAAAACUUUAUCUAAUAAAUUGAAACAAACAAAAACUCCUAAAACAUCUAAUAAAAUGGGAUAUAGUGAGUAUUAUAUUCCGACAAAAUCACAUCGCCCUAGUUCUGAAGAAAAGGAUUAUAAUUCUCAUCAUAUGAAUUUAUAGUUUUGAGAAAUAUUUUGGUUUUUUUUUUUUUUGGUAAACAUGUGAAGAAAACAGCAUGCUUUUAUAAAGAUGUACGGUCGUGUUGCCAUACUCCGACGCAAGAGUAAGUAGAGUAUUUUGGUUUUGUUUAGGUGACUAUUGACAUUUGAUAAUCUAUAUUUACAUUGUAGAUAUUUAAAAACUCUAAGCAAUUGACAAGUUAGAAACUACUAUAUUUUGAUCUUCGUAAUAUGUAUUAUAAAUUAUCAGUGAUGUAUCAUUAUCCGAAUUCAAAACCCUCAUAAUAUAUAAUUUUGUUGGAAAAAAAGAAAACUAAUAUAUGGCAUAUCUCUACGUUUGGUGAUAGAAAAAAAUAAUAUCUCCACGUUUAAGUCAACAAAAGCUAAUAUAUGGCAUAAAUAAGUAGUAUUUAUUUUCCAAAGAAAAUCUGGGAUAAGAAGAGACAAAGUAAAAAAAGAGACAAGUAAUAAUGAAGAGAAAAGACAAAAUUGGCGGGUGUUCGUUGUCAAAGAAUGCAUGCGUGUGGAGGAAGCUGGUCCAAUGUUCCCCACCGGAAAAGUGCUCUCUCCUUCUAUAACCACUAAUUUGUAUUUACACCCAUCUUAACAUUUUUCGUUACUUUCAUGAUAUCUCACUAAAAUUUUUUUACAUAUAUAUAUAUUUUAAACACUUGAACAUAGCAAUCAAAUUACCAUCCCUAUAAAUACCUUACAACAAUCAUUCUUCCAAAACUAUUAAUCAACAAACUUAAUUCAAAUAUUACCUUAAUUUUACUAUUUUAUUAAGUCAUUUGUUUUUUUGCAUGAUUGAUGUUAGUAUUUGUUAUUAGAUUGUCUCAAGAAAACAAAAAGGCUAGAUCACAUGCUUACUCAAAUCGAAAAGAAAACAGUAUCCGAAAAGCUUCACCAAAUUAGAAAUAUAAAUGACACAAGAGGGUUUACAUAAGUGGAGUAUAACAGGUAGGGCUACGCGUAAGUCUCCCUAGGAUUUGGAAUCCACUAUCAAUAAAUUUUUAUAGUAAAAGAUUAAUUACAAAAACAAAAACCUAAACCUUGGCAAAACUACAUGUUAUGAUUCCUAGUGGCAUUUGGUUUGUUUACACUUAUAUCAGUUCAUGUGUUUUUCUAUUAUAGGAGUUUUGUUUCCUGGGAAAUCUAGUUUUCCACCAGCUUUGUAUUCAUUAAUAUUAAUUUCUCUAGUCGACUUUGUAUCCUUUAAAGUUUUAAUACUCUUUCUGUUUCACAAAGAGUGUCGUUUUAAGGUUUUAAUCUUGUUUUACAAAGAGUGUGGUUUUAUGUUUUCAAUGCAGUUUUUAAGACUAAUUCUUUUUUUUUUAUCUCUACUUUUUCAGUUUAUUAAUUAGAGAGAGAGUAUUAUCUAGUAUAUUAAUGAGGGGUAGAAAAGAAAUCUGUUUACUUUUCUUAAUUUGUGUGUAAAAUGAUAGAAUGACACUCUUUGUGAAACAGAGGGAGUAAAAUUUUAGAUGACAAAAAGAACAAAAAAAGACCUUCUAAAACCACUCACUCACCAACAACCAAUUUGAAAAAGACCUUUUAUAUGUGCUUCUUAAAUGCUUCGUUUCAGCUAUUGUCAUCUUCGAUUUGAUGCUUAAUGCCAGGAUUUGUUGCUGCAAAACCAAGAAAUCGAUGCUCUGCACCAGAAUUUGGUUCAGCUCGAGAAAUGUAUGCGCAAUCCAAAAUUUUCGAAAAUCGAUCCGACUUAAACCGAACUGUUUUCUUUUUCGGCAGCUUCUCCACCGAACCAAAAAAUAGAUUAACCCGUUUCCAAGGACUAAAACAUAGAGUUCGAUAUCUACACAUAAUUAAUAUUCCAUGCAAAUUACUCCCUCUGUUUUUUUAGUUGAUGUUUUAGAAGAAUUUUUUUGUUCUAAAUUAGAUGAUGUUUUCAGUUUUCAAUGCAGUAUUAAUUAGUUUUUUUUAUUAGUUUUGACGAUUUAUAUUCUGCAGAUUAUUUUUCUAUUUGUUGAUUCAUUAAUAAAUAAUGUUUUAGUUUAGAAAUAAACAAAAAUUAAAUAAUUCCUUAAUCGAUGUGCAAAAAUUUUAAACAUCAAGUAAAAGGAAGUGGAGGGAGUGUAAUUUGUAUUAAUUUAAACCUGAACUCUUGCCUCAUAUUGGAAUAGUAAAAUAAAAUUUUGUUAUAUAUAGGUAAUUAAUUAAUGUAAAAAUGGUUUAACUCUAAAAUUUAGCUUAGCAUUUGACAAGAAUAUGACUCAUAUAGUUUUAACCCUUACAAAUUAUAGAUAUUCUUAAUUCGUUAUAAAUAUACAAACAUAUAAUUAUAAUUUUUUAGGCAGCACUAUUUGUGCGUAAUAGAUAAUAUUUAUACUUAACUUAACCCUACAUUCUUAAAAACCUUAACUGUAACAAUUAAUCAAAUCCGAAUCCUAACACGUACGUAUAAACCUUAAUUAAGCCUAACAUAAAUUUAUACUUUCAUAUCUACAAAGCAUAAUAUAUUGUAUGUUUUGAGUUAUCUGACUUCCAACACUUACCGCCUCAUUAAAAUAGGUUAACUAUGGAAAAAUUAAAUGGGAUUACACAUACCAAGUAGUAUGUUUGAUAUAACUGUGAUAUUAAUUAAAUUCAUUAAUUUAAUUAAAAAUUUACAUACUGUUGACUUUAAUUAACAGGUUAACUAAUUUCAAAAGUAAUGUGUCAAAAGCAAAGUUAGAUUAAAAAAAAAACAUCCAUGAGACAAAAAAAUUUAUUUAACAAUAUUUUUAAAAAAAUCUUUUGUUUUUAUCAGUAGAUACAAACUCUGUGAAAGUAAAGGGUUGGUGAACAAAAGUAAAAGAAACUUGGGCGAGUACUCGUGUGAGGUGUUACCAUCGAGCAAUCAAGUAAAUACUUACUUUAAUUCCAUUUAAUUUAUUUAUUGAAAAAUGACAACAAACACACAUUAAAGUAUAUGUGUAUAUAUAGAUACGUGUGUGCAUGGGUCUCCUCUAUAUGAGUGAUCAAAAAUUGUAUUGGAGUUCAGCUACAAAAUCUUCUCAUUCGAUUAUCUCUCUUUAUUUCUUCUCUAAUGAAGGGAACUCUAAGAUACUUAGCAGGAAUAGCAGGGCCAAAUGGGUUUGGCUCAAGAUCCACAGCUGAACAAGUUACACAACGUAGCUUUUUUCCUUGUUCACAUCUCACUGCCAUAAUCACUGGUUUGUCUCCCCUCAUCACUUAAACUACCAUUUGCUAUUUCAGUCUUUAUAGUGUUUUUGUUGAGUAGAUAUUCGCGUAUCUUUCCAAUUUUAUUGGAUGUUCCGGGAGGGACAUUCUGCAUUCGUGUGUCCUUCCCCUUACACAAGGAACGUUCUUUCAAAGGUCCUCAACAAAAAUAAAAGAAUAGUUGCGAACUUACAUGAUUGAAGCACAUAGUCGAUAAUUCCUAAAAGCUUUAUUUUCAUCAAAAGCUUUAUCUUUAGAGUCUUAGAGAAGGAAGAAUAACUGCGAUAAGAAACUCCUCAAUCUAAUGUUUUGAAGAUUUAUUUUUAUCAAAAGAUUCUGAUAUUCACAAACUAGAGAGGAUAUAUCUUAUAUCUAAUAUUUCACUUAUUGUUGAAAUUAUUAUUGUUAUAAUUCCAUAACACAAAAGUAGCUAGGCUAGGAGUCAGCCAGUAGACUUCUGUUAUAAGUUGUAAUUUUCCAAUACAUGGGAAAUAAACUUUUCAGGCAAAAACACGAUCUGUAUAUAUUAAUAUCAUUAUCAUAUGAGAUAUGUGUUUUGUUUAUGCCGGCGACAAUAUAUGGAUUUUGUCUCCAUUGAAAUUUGAAACAUUAGGUAUGGUUGGUUACAGCAUAUCUCCCAUAUACAAUUGAUUUGCCUUUUGACUUUAACCUUUGAAACAUGUCUCAUCGUUGCAAAACAUUACUUUAUUUUAAUUUUCUUUAGCGAUCAGCCUGCCCAAAACGUACUUUAUGCUAUCUUUAUGUUCCCUAAUUUGUCGGUUAAAACUUUAUGCAAUGAGGGUCAAUGAAUAGGCCUCUCUUUACUCUUUUUCUUGAAGUUGCAAAGAAAAACAAAAAGGCUGCUUGUAGAGACAUCAAUUGUAGAAAACCAAUUCCAAAUUGUAGUGAAAUAAUCCGGUUAAUGAUAUAUGAUUUUAGUUAUACCGGAUUUGAAUUUGAGUGUGGUAUUUUUUUCAUACACACACACACUCUAAUCCCUGGUAAAUCAUAUGAAACGACUAAGUUUCAAUUUUGUUAAAUACUGUACACUUGCUAAAAGUAUUUUUAUCUGAGAAAGUCCAAAAGCAUCCAUUUCAAAACUAAACUGAUAAGAACUGAAAUGGUUCAUGCAUGUUUUAUAUAUCCUAGAUUGUAUUAUGUACAAAACGUUUGAUUCAUCCUAGUUUCUAACAGGAGGAACGUCUGGGAUCGGUGCGGAAACAGCGAGAGUCUUAGCAAAAAGAGGGGUGAGAGUAGUGAUGGCAGUAAGAGAUAUGAAGAAAGCAGAGAUGGUAAAGGAGAGAAUAUUGAGAGAGAAUCCAGAAGCUGACGUUAAAUUGUUUGAGAUUGAUCUCAGCUCUCUCUCUUCCGUUGCAAGAUUCUGCUCUCAGUUUCUUUCCCAAGAUCUUCCCCUCAACAUUCUCAUGUACGUAAGAUUCACUCUACACGCUACCUCAUGCACCCAUGCACGUACCGAUAUGUAUAUAUACAGAAUGAGACUUUAAUAAUUCUUUGGGAUAAAAUGAAUUUUGCAGAAACAAUGCAGGGGUUUUCUCUCCAGAUCUUGAAUUUUCCGAAGAAAAGAUUGAGCUGACAUUUGCUACAAACUUUUUGGGUAAUUUUGUUGAAUUAUGUGACACAUGACUAUAUCUAUGUAGAGUGAGAGAAAAUAAAUGAUGGUUAGUAUUACUUUUCAGGACAUUACUUAUUAACAGAAAUGCUGAUAGAGAAAAUGAUAGACACCGCAGAGAAGAGUGGAAUCGAAGGACGAAUUAUUAACCUUUCCUCAGUGAUUCACAGUUGGGUCAAGCCUGAUUGUUUCUCCUUCCCUAAAUUACUCCAUCCCAUUAGGUAAUUUACAUUCAUUUUCCAUUUAUUACGUGUGAAAAUCUAAGAAUUUUUUUUUAGUAAUUGUGUUGUGUAAUCGUGUAGGUAUAACGGGACAAGGGCUUAUGCUCACUCAAAGUUGGCCACAAUUUUACAUGCCAAAGCGUUGAGCAAGCAAUUAAAGGUACAUUCGAAUAAAAUAGCUAAUUACAUCUUUCUUUCUUUUUUCUUAACAUUUUCACGAAAAUAAUAAUUUGAAAUAUUCACAACUAAACGUGUUACAGGACAGAAAUGCAAAUGUCACGAUAAAUGCGGUCCAUCCAGGAAUCGUUAAAACUGGAAUUAUCAGAGCACACAAGGGUCUUUUUACAGGUAACGUAAAACUUUUUAACCAUACAUAUAUAUAUAGAAGUGCAAAAGGAAUCUAAUAAGUAAAAAUUUCAAAAGAAGAAAAAUCUAAAACAUGAUGUGGUCUGAUGAUGCAUGCAGAUUCUCUGUUUUUGAUAGCUUCGAAGCUGCUAAAAUCUAUAAGCCAGGUUGGUGUGAAUAAUAUAUGCUUUCCUUUUUGUCUAAAUAGUACAGCUAUGGCCUAACAAGCUCAUUCUCUUUUUCUGACACUAGAUGUCUAGAUUCCUUUUUGUUUUUUUUGCAUCCCAAAUAAAAGUUUUGUCAUCAUCAAUAUUCAUGCAUAGACUCAUAUACAUAUGGGAUUAGGGCGCAGCUACAAUACACAUCUCAUAUAUACAUGCCACCGAAUCAAAUCACUGCAAUAAAGUACACCUUUGAAAAAAAAAUUAUAAUAAUAUUAAGGAUAAAUUUGAUUGUAUACCUAUGUCUUACUAGAAAUUUGAAUAUUUGCUUAUGGGAUUAGGGCGCAGCUACAACAUGUUAUGUGGCAUUGAGCAACGAAACCAAAGGGUUAAGUGGAAAGUAUUUUGCAGACUGCAAUGAGACCGAAAGCUCAGAUUUAGCGAAUGAUGAGUCUGUGGCUUUCAAGCUAUGCACCCACAGUCAUGCCUUAAUCCAUGAUUAUUUGCAUCAAUCGCAAAUACAUUCCCUUCCUAAUUUAUGUCUUAUGUAAAUCAUCUUAAUAAUUUCCUUUUCUGUCAAAGACCAUCCUUCAUUUUAUUCAUGUAAAGCAGUGUUUUAUAAACAAGACCGAUCUCGUACGUCGUGUGUAAUUAUCGAGAAGACCAUACAAAUAUGGAACAAUGAAUUCUAUUAAGUUUCAUAGUUUAGUCAUCAGUCAAUACAGGAAUUGUUUACCACGAAAAGUUUUAUAUAUUUAUUGUGUACGUAUGUUUUAAACUUUUGACAAAAGUUUAAUUGUGAGAAAGACAACUGAGAAAUUAAAAUAUCUCAUAAACAACAAAAAGUUGUGCUAUACGCCUAUAUUGCUAUUUACUUGUUUACGUUCUAGUGGUAUUUGCUAUAAUCUUAAAAUAUUGUUAGAAGUUAAACAAAACCAUAGAGGUUUGUUGUUCGAGUUUUUUUUAUUAGUUGACUUAUAAGAGGGAACCAACUUGGCGUGUGGACAUUCCAAUCUAUGUGUAUAGCGUGUUGUUGUGCCUUACCAAUAGCAUAGCAACUACGUAUAUCAAGCUAUCAACCAUUUAAGGUCUUUUCAUAGUUAAUACUCCCUCCGUAUUUUAAUAAGUGUCAUUUUAGAAUUUUUAAUUUUUUUGAAUUGGAUGUCGUUUUCAAAUUUCUAUACAAAAUUUAUUACUUUUUAAUGUUUUAUGAUAUCAUAAAACAUUAAAAAGUAAAAAAUUUUGCAUAGAAAUUUGAAAACGACAUCUAAUUUUUAAAAAAAGAAAAUCCUAAAACGACACUUAUUAAAAUACGGAGGGAGUAUAUGUUUUAGAAAUAUAUAUUUAUAUGUCUUAGAAGUUAGCUUUAGUCAGCCCAAUUGUUUGUCUAUGGCAAUGAAUGGCGGGGGCGGAACCGGGCGGUUUGGGCAAAUCACUAAAUUAUGUCGCCAUUCACACAUCUCAUAAUGCUAUCUGUUACUCAUUAUUAAACAAUAAAUUAAACUUAUAGCAUCAGUAAAAGAAAACAAUCAGUCAAGUCGCAUAUUAGUCGCUAAAUGCUUGGUUACAACCAAAUAGCGACUAAAACAUGUCAAAAAUAUAUUCUUGUAAUAUAAAAAAUUUCACGAUAUACAAACGUAAUUUAAAAUUUAAGGCCCAAAAUCAAAUCCCUUUUCUUAGUAAAGUUUAUAUAUGUAUUUUCCUAUGAGUGCUUAAUGAAAAUAUCAACGACCCGUGAAACGGAAAGCUAAUACAACACGACUAAGUACUAAAGCAAUUUCUUCCAGAAUACAUGAAUUGAAGAUGGAUACGUCAUCUUAGCAUGCCACGAAUCCUUAGAUAUAGAAAGUAUAUAAUGUCAACUUCGGAAAAAUUAAUAAGUGAAACUUGCUAUAAACAAUAUUGUAUAUUAGCAAAAAAAGGAAAAAAAGAAAAAGAAAAAAACUACAAAUGUCGUUAGCUCAACGGGUAAUGAUCCUAGGCGAAGCUUUUUUUUUUUUUUUUUUUUUUUGACAUCUUUGGAUCGAAAAGGUCUGAUCCAUAGCCAAUCCCUACUACGCGGGGUAACGCGACUUAGUGGAGUCGAACUCCGGUGGGGAAGGCGGAGUCAAGUGGACUUAACCACUUGACUAAAAGCACAUCCCCGACCCUAGGCGAAGCUUAGAGGUCACCAGUUCGAAUGACGCUUGGGACGAAACUAAUAUUACAUGCUGUGGUUUCGGACUUGGGAGGAUUACGGGCUUUGGCCCAGAACAUCUUAGUAUUCAAAAAAAAAAAAAAAAACUACAAGUGUGUUCAAGUAUUUUAGCCAGUGGAUUAGAUUAAACUUCUACGAAGAGAGCAGUGGUUGACCUGAGAGUAUUAUUUAUAGAGAAUCCUCAGCGACUGAAUAUAAACAUAAAAUUUCUCUCUUGAGGAAGAUAAACAAAGAUCAAAGUAUUCUCCAGCCAUUUGGAAACUACUUGAUGGCCUUACCAAUGUUCGGCGGUAUUGACUUUACCAAUUUGUUUCUUGAGAAUCCAUAUUUCCUGGACAAACCAGACGAGAGCUUCGGGGGAACGUUUUUGCACCUAGCUGUGAAACUAGGGAACGAGGAACUCGUUAAGAAGAUAAUCGAGAUUCGCCCUUCCCUAAUCAGUUCCACUAACACCAAAGGUGACACACCUCUCCAUUUGGCUGCGGGAUUGGGACACACAAGCAUCUUGCUGCUGAUGUUAGAGUCCACAGCUGAGUCCAUAGAAAGCAUAGAGGAGACAAUGCCGAAUGAUCUAAACCUUGCAGAAAUGGUGAAUAAAGAUGGUUUGACACCUUUGCAUUGCGCGGUGAUGAAUGGCUCGGUGGAAACCCUGACUACGUUUAUCAACAAGGCUCCCUCGUCUUUUGACUCAGUCACACUACAAACGAGUGAAACAGUCUUCCAUUUAGCUGCCAGACACAAAAAGAUGGAAGCCUUUAUUUUCAUGGCCAAGAGUGCCAAACUAAGAAGACUUCUCUACGAGCUGGAUGGAGAGGGCAAUACUGUGCUUCAUGCUGCCGCAUCAGUAGGCUUUCUCUCCGUAAGUUCUCCUUCUUUUUUUUCUGUGUUUUCUACUUGUAGCAAAAAAUUUUUUUGUGUUUUCUAUUAGCAGCAAAAAAAAAUUCUCUUCAAAACUUUCUCUUGAAAUUUGAAUCGGUAUUCGCUUGUGGGGUGGCAAGAGUAGCACAUAGUUUCUACAAAGCCCAGUCUAGAUGAAAUAGUUAGCAUAACAUAUGCCCCAAAAAGAAACCCGGAGGAGAAACAAUCUGUAAACAAGGCUUAUAAAAACGAAGCCCAAGAGGCCUAGAAGGUGAAGGAUUUUUCAAAAAAAAAACAAGUUUUGUUAGUCUUUCGGCUAACUGCUAUUUCUCAAAUUCAUCAUAAUCAUCUGUAAUGUUUAAGGAGUUUUUUGUCCAAUGAAUAUGUAAACAGAUUCUGAUCUAAUAAAACUGACGUUAAGAAAAAAGAAAACUAUUUUCAAUGUGCUCUUACGAUUUUUUUUGGCACAACCGCAGGUUUAACAUUGUAUUGAUCAAAUAAUACCAAAAUAUCUUUAGUUAUUUGCUUAAUAUAUUUUUUUCAGUAUAUGUAGCUACAGUAACAAAUAAAAAGUCUUGCCUUAUUUUCAAAAACUCAACGUUAAUUUAAAAUACAAUUGAUUGCGUAUGCAUAUUUGAUUAAUCAUCAUUUGAGUUUUAAGGGUCCAUUUCAUUAACAAUAUUCCAUGCAUAAAGAUGAUAAAACGACCUUCUGAACUUUGAAGCAUUCAGAAAAAUAUACUCCCAUUUUUUCUUAUUAAUCCAAAUUCUAUAAAAAGUUUGUUCUAAAAAAGAUACAAUUUUUAACUUUUUAAUGUAUUUGUUUUAUUAAUUAUUGAUGAUGAAUUGUAAAUUUCAAGAAAAAUAAUUGAUUAUUAUGGUUUGGAAUUACAGAAAAUUGUUAAUCACAAAACUGACGCUGACGCAUCUAUAAUCAGUUUUUAAUAAGUAUGAAAAAAUUAAAAAUCGGAUUAAUUAGAAACAAAUAUAUUAAUCAAUUUUAUUAAAUGAGUUAGAAAAAUACACCACUUUGCAUCCGGGCUUUUAACCGAAAUUCUGCAAUAAUCUUUGAUAGAUUCCUUACAUAUCUUGGUAUUUCCAUCUGAAAUUCUCUAAUAUAUUAACAUAUUGCAGCUGGUAAGUUACAUAGUUCAUGAAAUAAAAAUAGAAGUCACCACCCAAAACGAUAAAGGUUUUGAAGCGGUUGAUCUUCUCAAUAAAGAUGAUGAAGAUUUCAAAAUGCUAUCUAUGAUUCUGGGGCGUGAUUCAGAAGUAUUUCAACGCAUUUCAAUUCUAGGAGAUGCUCAUACACCUGCAACAACAACCGAGGUGGAAAAUUCCGAAAUUCAUUAUGAGCAAGGACUUGUAGUUCCUGAAAUAAAAGAAGAGAACGUCACCGACAAGAACAAUAAAGUUUUUGAAGCGAUUAAACUUCUGAACAAAGACGAUGAAGAUUUAAAAAUGCUUGCUGGGACUGAUUCAGAAACAUUUCAAGUCCCUUCGAGUCGGAAAGGAAUUAUAACAUCUGAAACACAAACCGAGAUGGUAUUUUCGGAAACUCUCCAUAAAGUAGGACUUAGUCGUCGAGAGAGUCGCAUCAAAGAAAAAGAUAUGCAGUCAGAGGCUUUGCAAAACGCGAGGAAUACAAUUACGGUUGUCGCAGUCUUGAUUGCAUCGGUUACUUUCACUUGUGGAUUGAACCCGCCUGGUGGUGUCUAUCAGGAUGGACACUUCAUAGGGAAAGCAACCGCAGGGGGAACUGUGGCUUUCAAGGUCUUCUCGGUAAGCAAUAGCAUCGCGUUGUUUACAUCAAUAUGCAUCGUCAUUCUUCUGCUCAGCAUUAUACCAUUUAGGACGAAAUCACUCAAGACAUUCUUGAUUAUAACACAUAAGAUGAUUUGGGUGGCUGUUAUAGCCAUGGCAAGUGCUUAUGUCGCUGGUGCAUGUGUCACUUUACCCCAUUCUAGAGGAAACAAAUGGGUACUCAAAGCCACUCUGGUUAUUGCUUGUGUCAUGCUAGGAGGUAUGUUUAUUUGUCUUUGGUUUAAGCUGGCCAACCAUAUGUCAAGGAAGCAGAGGAUGAGAAGAUCUAUAAUGUCGAGGAAAGAAACCCUAGAUAGGGCAGCUGCUUUCGUGGAGGGCUACUACAGCUACUAAAAUUAUCUAUAUAUGUAUAUCCUUUUACUAAAGGUUUUGUGUCGUUAAUUUUGUAUAUCUGCAUUAAUUAUAAUUAUGUCGCUUGUAUAAAUGACUCUAUUAAUUAGUUGAAAUAAAUAUGCACAUCGAUUAUUGAUAUACUCCAUAUUCACCGCUUUAGCAAUGUUUUUAAUAUCCUUUUUUAUCGUGUUUCACUGUAUUUUCAUUGUUUUAUUGAAUUUAUUUUCCAAGUAAAUCUCCUUGCAUUUUAGAGAUCUUCUUAUGUUUUGUGUGUAUUUUGGUGUGUAUUGUGUGUCUCUUAAACCAUUUCAAGUUAAAAUAAUGGAGAAAACAAAUUUGGAUGCAAAUAAGAGAAAUGAUGAUCCAGUCUUUAAAACGAUUUAUAAUGCUCCAUAUCUCAGCAUGAAAGCUACGUCUACUUUUUGUUGUUGUAGAUUAUACGUCCAUAUGUAGUGCACCUAAUCUGCUGCUCUUCUACUAGUUCAUCCGAGAUAUUUUUAAUAUUUCGUGGGCCUGUGAGCUCCUUAGCCAGUAAGCCUCAAAAGCUUUUGUGAUUAAACACAAGUUUCAGCUUUCGGUAAUUUAUAUUCGCAUUUUAUACUAAAAAAAUAAAAGCUUAAUACUAAAAAAUAAUGCACAUCUCGAGUCCAUCAACUCGCGCAUAUUUUUACUUUAUAUGGUAAUCAAAUAGUCAAAUGUUCUCAUUUUGGCACCCAAGUUAGACAUUACUAAUCUAUACACGCCUACCUGAAAAAAGGAAUGUUAGGAGUUAUAUUGUGACUACGAUUAUAUGUAGAUAUCGUGUGUAUCUUUUGUCUCGGUUUUCUUAUCUUAAGUCGGUCCUCUUUGUGUAAAUACAUGCUUUCAGUCCACUGACUUGAGGCAUAAGAGUGAAUUCCCAAAUCUUCCUCUAAGUUGACAAUAUUUAACAAAACAAUUUAUCUAUUACAUCACGUCAAAAAUACAGUAGGGACACAAUCGCGCGGCUUGGCCUUACAAAAAAAAAAAAGAGAAGAAACACAAUCUAAGAUGAAAAAAAUCUUAAUAACAGAAAAAACAUUAAUUCACACAAAAUAUUUAUUUCUUCGGUUCGGGUGAGUCAAGGACACCUAGGGUUUCGACCAGGGCCUCCGUAGUAAAAAUAAGUCCCCCAUACAUUGUUUUUGCCUUGUCUGAUGUCAUAACAAGCCGGGUGAUCAGCCAAGACAUGGAGAUUCUUCAGAGGCAAGAGAUUGUUGUCCCAAUCAACAACUUGUAAGUUCCUAAAGUAGGCAGCUUUCUCAAACCCUUCAUCUGCGAAAUGGCCGCUUCCCAUCUGUGUUCCGGUGUGAGCACCGCUUGAUCGGCUGUUCACAACUUCGCCGCCAAAUUGUACCAUACUUGCAUGACUCCUCAAGUGACUGAACAAGAAAGCUGGCCAGUAUCCCACAAGAAGUCCAUUCCCUAGUUCAAGCCACCAGUGCCCAUGUUUUGGAUCCUACAUUAAGUUUCAAUUGACCACAAUAUUGGCAAUAGCACGUUUAGCUUCAAGACAACAAAAAGUAUAGUAUAGAUGAAAUAAUUUCUGUAAGUCAAAACAAUCGAAUGUUUCAAAACCAACAUAUAUGGCUUUGCAGGAUACACAGUUAAUUAAACAUCGUAUAUAUCGAUCAUUAUGUAAUCUUUAUAACCAGCUUCAUGUGAGUUACCAAAUAAACUUAUGUUUCAUAUAUUUAGUUAUACCAAGGGAGGUCAGCUAAAUUUGCGCAUACAGGUUUCUAGUUGAUGUACAUUAAAGAUUUGCUUUUACUGCAGGAGCAGUGAAGUUUCUGACAUCAAUUUCAUAUCCUCAAUUUAAUGCUCUUACCAAAUCCAACCUUUUUUAUUUAUUAACAAUGUUUUGAAAAAAGCUGAAGCCAUCUUUCUUUUAUUGGUUCACUUUAUGAAAUUCGAGGUUGGUUGCUUUCUUUAUUGUUUCUCAAAGAGUUACAAGUAUUCAAAGUACCUACAAUGGCACACGUUGUAAUAACUAAGCAUUGCCUCGGGGUGAUUUUCAUUCAUUUAUUGAUGAGUCAUAUUAGGUUAAAUUAUGAUUACGUGAGCUCUUUUUGUGACGUGAGUUAUGUCUCUUUUUGUUUUUUUUUUGAGCAACAGACGUGAGUUAUGUAUGUCUAUAAGUAAUUACAGCCUAAAAUUUUCACCAUGAUGAUUUGGUUUUCAAUUUGUUUAUGUGAAAAUGGAUUAAGUAGACAUAACAUUUAAAUAAAUGUUAUUUUUAAAAAAAAACAUUCAAAUAAAUGUUUAU
rnacentral:lncRNA from 1 species